rnacentral:rRNA from 1 species
GACGAACGCUGGCGGCGUGCCUAAUACAUGCAAGUCGAGCGGAUCUACUUGGUAGCUUGCUAUCAAGUAGGUUAGCGGCGGACGGGUGAGUAACACGUAGGCAACCUGCCCACAAGAUCGGGAUAACAUUCGGAAACGAAUGCUAAGACCGGAUAAACAAUUCGGCUGCAUGGCUGAAUUGGGAAACGCGGAGCAAUCUGCGGCUUGUGGAUGGGCCUGCGGCGCAUUAGCUAGUUGGUGGGGUAACGGCUCACCAAGGCGACGAUGCGUAGCCGACCUGAGAGGGUGAACGGCCACACUGGGACUGAGACACGGCCCAGACUCCUACGGGAGGCAGCAGUAGGGAAUCUUCCACAAUGGGCGAAAGCCUGAUGGAGCAACGCCGCGUGAGUGAGGAAGGCUUUCGGGUCGUAAAGCUCUGUUGCCAGGGAAGAAUAAGGAUGAGAGUAACUGCUCAUUCGAUGACGGUACCUGAGAAGAAAGACCCC